ACUAAGUUAAUUAUUAGAUUUAUUUUCUUUAAUUAAAUUAUUUGUUCUUUUUUUAGUUUUUUUACAAACAAUUUGUUUAAUAUUGACUGACAAGGUAAUUUAUUAAGUUUUUAUGAGAUUUUAUUAUUACCUUUGGUAUCAGGGUAGAUUAAUUACUUUAAAUAUUUUAUAUUCCCGAAUUAAAAAGGUCAAUAAUUUUAUUUAAUUUUAAUUGUUAAAAAAAUUUUAAUAAUAAAGUUGUAGUAGCUAUAUGUUAAUCGAUUUUUGUUUAUCUGGUUACUAAGGAGUUUAAUUAAAUUAAUCAUUAUUAUAUAAAAUUAUAUUUUAAUUGGUUUUAUAGUGAAAAUUUAUUAGGGAUAAUCUUAAUAAUUUAUACUAAAAUUUAAUUUUUAUGAAGUUUAUUAACUUUAAAAUUUUGUAUUUAGUUUAUAAUAAAAUUAUUUCUUUAAUUUUUAUUUGUUAGAAUUUAGUUUAUUACUUAGUUUUUUAAUAAAAUUUAGUUAUUAUUUUAAUAAUGAUUUAAUUAGUAUAAUUUUUAGAUUAAACAUUAUGAACUCGACAAUUUUUAUUUCCAACUGUUUAACAAAAACAUUUCCUUUAGUUUUUAUUGAAGGUAAUUCCUGCCCUAUGGUUUAAUCUAAAUGGCUGCAGUAUUUUGACUGUGCAAAGGUAGCAUAGUAAUUAGUUUCUUAAUUGGGAACUUGUAUGAAUGGAUAAAUGAGAUAUAAUUUUUAUUUAAUUAAAAGUUAAAAUUUUAAUUUUAAGUGAAAAUGCUUAAGAUUUUUCUUGGGACGAUAAGACCCUAUAGAACUUUACAUUUGUUUAUAAAAUUUUCUUUAAUUUUUUUGUAAGAUUUUCUGUUCGUAUGUUUUGCUGGGGUGGUAGAUAAAUUUUAACUUUAUUUAUUUUUUUCAUUAAUAAUUGUUUUUAUUGAUCUUAAUGGAUUAUAAGAAUAAGUUACCUUAGGGAUAACAGCGUAAUUUUAGUGGGGAGUUCAUAUCUAUACUGAUUUUGCGACCUCGAUGUUGAAUUAAGAAAAAACUAAGAAGCAGAAUUCUUAGAUUUAAGUCUGUUCGACUUUUAAAUUCUUACAUGAUUUGAGUUCAAACCGGCGUGAGCCAGGUUGGUUUCUAUCUUAGAAAUUGUUAAGUUAUUUAGUACGAAAGGACCAAUUACUUGUGAUUAGUCAUUUAAUUCAUUAAU
rnacentral:rRNA from 1 species